rnacentral:rRNA from 1 species
CGUAGGGCGCAAGCGUUGUCCGGAUUUAUUGGGCGUAAAGAGCUCGUAGGCGGCUUGUUGCGUCGACCGUGAAAACCCGCGGCUUAACCGUGGGCUUGCGGUUGAUACGGGCGGGCUGGAGUUCGGUAGGGGAGACUGGAAUUCCUGGUGUAGCGGUGAAAUGCGCAGAUAUCAGGAGGAACACCGGUGGCGAAGGCGGGUCUCUGGGCCGAUACUGACGCUGAGGAGCGAAAGCGUGGGGAGCGAACAGGAUUAGAUACCCUGGUAGUCCACGCUGUAAACGUUGGGCGCUAGGUGUGGGGGUCCUCUCCGGGUCUCUGUGCCGCAGCUAACGCAUUAAGCGCCCCGCCUGGGGAGUACGGCCGCAAGGCUA